GGCGGCCACCGCUAUUGGAAUACGAUUAAGACAUGCGAGUCGAGAGACGUAAGGUCUCGGCGGACCGCUCAGUAACACGUGGAUAACAUGCCCUAAGGAGGGGGAGUAAUCUCGGGAAACGUAGAGGGUAAGUACCCCACUAGGUCUAUUUUGUCUGGAAUGCUAAUAGGCCGAAAACUACCGGUGCCUUAGGAUUGGUCUGCGGUCUAUCAGGCUGUAGUGGGUGGUAAUGGACCCACUAGCCCGUCGACGGAUAUGGGCCGUUGAGAGAGGGAGGCCCACGAGAUGGACUCUGAGACAUGAGUCCAGGCCCUACCGGGGCGGCAGCAGUCGCGAAAACUUACGCAAUGGGGGCGAACCCCGACCGAGGGAAGUUCC
rnacentral:rRNA from 1 species